rnacentral:sRNA from 1 species
UUUUCGCCUGAAUAAAAGAGGAUGAGCACCGCCGAAGGCGGUUCGCGCCGAGCGCAGCGAGACAACGUUGCGAACGCAACGGCCCGAAGGAGAGCUGGCCCUGUGGCAAUCGAUUCAGGCAGACA